CUUCCGUAGGGUGACCUGCGGAAGGAUCAUUACCGAGUGCGGGUCCUUUGGGCCCAACCUCCCAUCCGUGUCUAUUGUACCCUGUUGCUUCGGCGGGCCCGCCGCUUGUCGGCCGCCGGGGGGGCGCCUCUGCCCCCCGGGCCCGUGCCCGCCGGAGACCCCAACACGAACACUGUCUGAAAGCGUGCAGUCUGAGUUGAUUGAAUGCAAUCAGUUAAAACUUUCAACAAUGGAUCUCUUGGUUCCGGCAUCGAUGAAGAACGCAGCGAAAUGCGAUAACUAAUGUGAAUUGCAGAAUUCAGUGAAUCAUCGAGUCUUUGAACGCACAUUGCGCCCCCUGGUAUUCCGGGGGGCAUGCCUGUCCGAGCGUCAUUGCUGCCCUCAAGCCCGGCUUGUGUGUUGGGUCGCCGUCCCCCUCUCCGGGGGGACGGGCCCGAAAGGCAGCGGCGGCACCGCGUCCGAUCCUCGAGCGUAUGGGGCUUUGUCACAUGCUCUGUAGGAUUGGCCGGCGCCUGCCGACGUUUUCCAACCAUUCUUUCCAGGUUGACCUCGGAUCAGGUAGGGAUACCCGCUGAACUUAAGCAUAUCAAUAAGCGGAGGAA
rnacentral:rRNA from 1 species